AUACCAUGAUCUCUAUCAUAGGUAUCACUGAAACUUCUUUCAGUAGAUUAAAAUAAUUCUACUCUAACUCGACAAGGAUCAUUGAACUAAAAUGAUCCUAUUGAGCUCUCACAAUCUAUCAGUGAUAUCUAGCAAUAUGUAGUGGCAACCUAGCAGAAUCGAAAUAGAAUCUUUAGGUGUAGUUAAUAUAUGAUAUAGUCCCUCUAUCGUGAGUUCCAACUAGAUGGC
rnacentral:lncRNA from 1 species